rnacentral:lncRNA from 1 species
AUGCCAUGUAUGCUUGAUCAGGGUUUUCAACAAUGGGAGAUAAAGUGCCAUCAUAAUCAAGAAAAAUCACUACUUGUUUCAUCUUGGCAGCACUCAUAAUCUCUUCAAACACACCCAAUGCUGAAGGAUGCUUCAUCUGUUUCAACAAAAACAAACUUCUAAAUAAAUUCACCUUUGUUGAAAAAACAUUUUUUUUUUUGAAAAACUAAGAACAACCACUCACAAUCCAAUCUUUUUUCUCUUGAUUGUUUUCGGAUGAGCUUCGGGUAGGAGAAGAAGCUCUCAUAGCAUCCACCCAGCCAAUAUUUUUGCCCACGGUGGCCGCUUCGAUACUUUUUGGGAACUUGUUUCUUGAAAACAGGGUGAUGUUGUAAGGGGAGGGGGAGAAGAGGGAUGAAUUGUUAACCGCGGCGGCCGCGGUUAUCGCCAUGGCAAUGGCGGAUUGCGUGUCGGAAACCGCCACAUUUGGAUUGGUCAUUUGGGUGUUUAAGUUGAUGAACUUAGAAUAGGGAAGAUGGGAAGAGGUGAAGAUGGGGAGGUUUGAAGGGGGAAUUUAUAAGAAGAUUUCAUUUCAUGGAGGAAGCAUCCCUCUGCCUUUUUGAUGGACUAAAAAGGUUUAAUUUUAUUGUUUUUAUUAUAGUUUUAUUAUAAUUAAUAAGAAGAAUUUAGAACAAGUUAAUUGGAUUCUCUAGCUUUUUAUAUUCCUGAGUAUUUGUUUAUUUCUUAUUUCUUAUUUUUUAUUUAAUAGAGCUACAGAAGCAUCAUAUUUGUAUCAUAUAUGUCUAAUUUAAUUGGUAUAUAUAUUUAUGUAUAAAGAAUUAUU